AUUGAACGCUGGCGGCAGGCCUAACACAUGCAAGUCGAGCGGAGCGGCGGACGGGUGAGUAAUGCCUAGGAAUCUGCCUGGUAGUGGGGGAUAACGUCCGGAAACGGGCGCUACUACCGCAUACUAUCAGAUGAGCCUAGGUCGGAUUAGCUAGUUGGUGGGGUAAAGGCCUACCAAGGCGACGAUCAGUACCUGGUCUGAGAGGAUGAUCAGUCACACUGGAACUGAGACACGGUCCAGACUCCUACGAGAGGCAGCAGUGGGGAAGAUGGGACAAUGGGCGCAAGCCUGAUGCAGCCAGGCGGAGUGUAUGAAGAAGGCCUUCGGGUUGUAAAGUACUUGCAGCGGGGAGGCGUUACCCGCAGAAGAAGCACCGGCUAACUCCGUGCCAGCAGCCGCGGUAAUUC
rnacentral:rRNA from 1 species